UACAGAGGUCCCAAGCGUUGUUCGGAUUCAUUGGGCGUAAAGGGUGUGUAGGUGGCGCCGUAAGUCAGGUGUGAAAUCUCGGGGCUUAACUCCGAAACUGCAUUUGAUACUGCGGUGCUUGAGGACUGGAGAGGAGACUGGAAUUUACGGUGUAGCAGUGAAAUGCGUAGAGAUCGUAAGGAAGACCAGUGGCGAAGGCGGGUCUCUGGACAGUUCCUGACACUGAGGCACGAAGGCCAGGGGAGCAAACGGG
rnacentral:rRNA from 1 species